ACGGAAGGCAGCAGUGGGGAAUAUUGGACAAUGGAGGAAACUCUGAUCCAGCGACGCCGCGUGAGUGAAGAAGUAUUUCGGUAUGUAAAGCUCUAUCAGCAGGGAAGAAAAAUUCAAAAUUGACUGUACCUGACUAAGAAGCCCCGGCUAACUACGUGCCAGCAGCCGCGGUAAUACGUAGGGGGCAAGCGUUAUCCGGAAUUACUGGGUGUAAAGGGAGUGUAGGCGGUUUGGCAAGUCAGAUGUGAAAACCCUGGGCUUAACCUAGGGACUGCAUUUGAAACUGUCAGACUAGAGUGUCGGAGGGGUAAGUGGAAUUCCUAGUGUAGCGGUGAAAUGCGUAGAUAUUAGGAAGAACACCGGUGGCGAAGGCGACUUACUGGACGACAACUGACGCUGAGGCUCGAAAGCGUGGGGAGCAAACAGGAUUAGAUACCCUGGUA
rnacentral:rRNA from 1 species